rnacentral:rRNA from 1 species
CGAGUCCGAGUCUCCACGGAGACGAAGUGGCGGUCAUCCAGCUUCCUAGAAAAGCUCUAACCACGUUAAUCUUUAGUUGCCUGUACCCGAAACCGACACAGGUAGGGGGGUAGAGAAUACCAAGGGGCGCGAGAUAACUCUCUCUAAGGAACUCGGCAAAAUGACCCCGUAACUUCGGGAGAAGGGGUACCACUGAGAAGUGGUCGCAGUGAAGAGGCCCAGGCGACUGUUUACCAAAAACACAGGUCUCCGCCAAGUCGCAAGACGAAGUAUGGGGGCUGACGCCUGCCCAGUGCCGGAAGGUUAAGGAAGUGGGUUAGGGAUUCGUCCCGAAGCUGACGGCUGAAGCCCCGGUGAACGGCGGCCGUAACUAUAACGGUCCUAAGGUAGCGAAAUUCCUUGUCGGGUAAGUUCCGACCCGCACGAAAGGCGUAACGAUCUGGGCGCUGUCUCGGAGAGAGGCUCGGCGAAAUAGGAAUGUCUGUGAAGAUACGGACUACCUGCACCUGGACAGAAAGACCCUAUGAAGCUUUACUGUAGCUUGGAAUUGGGUUCGGGCUUGGUUUGCGCAGGAUAGGUGGGAGGCGAAGAAGAUUUGCUUGUGGGUGAAUCUGAGCCAACGGUGAGAUACCACUCUAACCAGGCUAGAAUUCUAACUUCAACCCGUCAACCGGGGGAAGGACAGUUUCAGGUGGGCAGUUUGACUGGGGCGGUCGCCUCCUAAAAGAUAACGGAGGCGCACAAAGGUUCCCUCAGGCUGGUUGGAAAUCAGCCAACGAGUGCAAAGGCAGAAGGGAGCUUGACUGCGAGACCUACAAGUCAAGCAGGGUGGAAACACGGUCUUAGUGAUCCGACGGCACCGAGUGGAAGGGCCGUCGCUCAACGGAUAAAAGUUACUCUAAGGAUAACAGGCUGAUCUCCCCCAAGAGUUCACAUCGACGGGGAGGUUUGGCACCUCGAUGUCGGCUCAUCGCAACCUGGGGCGGAAGUACGUCCCAAGGGUUGGGCUGUUCCCCAUUAAAGCGGUACGUGAGCUGGGUUCAGAACGUCGUGAGACAGUUCGGUCCAUAUCCGGUGUAGGCGCAAGAACAUUGAGAGGAGUCUUCCUUAGUACGAGAGGACCGGGAAGAACGCACCGCUGGUGUACCUGUUAUCGUGCCAACGGUAAACGCAGGGUAGCCAAGUGCGGAGUGGAUAACCGCUGAAAGCAUCUAAGUGGGAAGCCCACCUCAAGAUGAGUGUUCUCAUGGAGUAAUCCAGUAAGGUCACGGGAAGACGACCCGUUGAUAGGCGGUAGGUGGAAGUUCAGCAAUGGAUGAAGCCGAGCCGUACUAACAGACCGAGGGCUUGACCG